CAGCCGCGGGAAUACGGAGGGGGCUAGCGUUGUUCGGAAUUACUGGGCGUAAAGCGCACGUAGGCGGAUCAGAAAGUCAGAGGUGAAAUCCCAGGGCUCAACCUUGGAACUGCCUUUGAAACUCCUGGUCUUGAGGUCGAGAGAGGUGAGUGGAAUUCCGAGUGUAGAGGUGAAAUUCGUAGAUAUUCGGAGGAACACCAGUGGCGAAGGCGGCUCACUGGCUCGAUACUGACGCUGAGGCGCGAAAGCGGGGGGAGCAAACAGGAUUAGAUACCCGCGUAGUCCCUGUCUCUUAUACACA
rnacentral:rRNA from 1 species